AAACAUAAAAUCAAGAGUGCUAUAUGGUACUCAAUAACCAUCAUUAGGAGAUGGAUGACCAUCAAAAAAAAAAUAUACUAUGCACGAAACGUAAGGUCAUUUUGUUUGAUGGCUGCCCAUCUUCUAAUGGUUUUGGUUGAGCGUUGCAUAGUACUCUAGAUGCAAACCGUGCACUACAGAGAAUCCGUGCUUUCGCAGCCUUGAGCUACUUGAGAGUAACAUAAUGUGUGCUAUUGUCGAGUUAGGAUCUGUCAAUGGUAGUGAAAAAUUUGUAACCAUUUCUGCCAAUAAGUUUACAGUAUACUUUUGUUUUCUAAAGAUAGCAACCCAAGAA
rnacentral:lncRNA from 1 species